rnacentral:lncRNA from 1 species
CUCGGAGAGCAACUUGACUUUGAAUGCAGCAUAUAAUCACCACUAACACACAGUGUGUUUGCUCUUGGCCGGGCACUAUUCCAAGUUCUUUCUGUUUUCCCAGGUUGCGCUCCGGGCUUGCACUGACAGCUGACGUGCAGCUGACGUCCCUGGCCUCAUCCCUGUCCCGCACUUGCGGAGCCCCUCCUGUGCGGAGGACCACGGUGCCCGUCUAAUCACGGCAGAGCCAGUCCUAAGUGGUGACCAGGAGCGCACAGGCAGCCGUAAGAUGCGAUGCAAGGGUUGCCCAGCAUGAGGCAUAGCCGGUCCCGCAAGAAAUAGUGAGGAGGGUGGGCCUGCUGGGUGGCAGGGAGAGUGGCAGGUGCUGGCACUGGAAGUGGAGCAGAAGGGUUGCAGGAUCAAGAGCAACAGCAGGAACCAAGGGCCCGGUGCCAGCCGACUCCCAGAGCUGUCUCCCGUGGUGUGGCGGGAGGGUCUCGCCUCCCUGCACCGGGUCUUCUCUCUGGAGAUGGCCUGCAUGCCCUGCUCCUUUCUGU